rnacentral:rRNA from 2 species
AAACCAACAGGGAUUGCCCUAGUAACGGCGAGUGAAGCGGCAACAGCUCAAAUUUGAAAUCUGGCUCUUUUAGAGUCCGAGUUGUAAUUUGCAGAGGGCGCUUUGGCUUUGGCAGCGGUCCAAGUUCCUUGGAACAGGACGUCACAGAGGGUGAGAAUCCCGUACGUGGUCGCUAGCUAUUGCCGUGUAAAGCCCCUUCGACGAGUCGAGUUGUUUGGGAAUGCAGCUCUAAAUGGGAGGUAAAUUUCUUCUAAAGCUAAAUAUUGGCCAGAGACCGAUAGCGCACAAGUAGAGUGAUCGAAAGAUGAAAAGCACUUUGGAAAGAGAGUCAAACAGCACGUGAAAUUGUUGAAAGGGAAGCGCUUGCAGCCAGACUUGCUUGCAGUUGCUCAUCCGGGCUUUUGCCCGGUGCACUCUUCUGCAGGCAGGCCAGCAUCAGUUUGGGCGGUGGGAUAAAGGUCUCUGACACGUUCCUUCCUUCGGGUUGGCCAUAUAGGGGAGACGUCAUACCACCAGCCUGGACUGAGGUCCGCGCAUCUGCUAGGAUGCUGGCGUAAUGGCUGUAAGCGGC